rnacentral:rRNA from 1 species
UACGUGGGGUCCAAGCGUUAUCCGGAGUUAUUGGGCGUAAAGCGCGCGCAGGCGGCUUCGCGCGUCCGACGUGAAAGCCCCCGGCUCAACCGGGGAGGGUCGUUGGGUACGGCGGAGCUUGAGGGCGGUAGAGGUUGGUGGAAUUCCCGGUGUAGUGGUGAAAUGCGUAGAGAUCGGGAGGAACACCUGUGGCGAAGGCGGCCAACUGGGCCGACCCUGACGCUGAGGCGCGAAGGCGUGGGGAGCGAACGGG